rnacentral:rRNA from 1 species
UGGGGAAUAUUGGACAAUGGGCGAAAGCCUGAUCCAGCCAUGCCGCGUGUGUGAAGAAGGUCUUCGGAUUGUAAAGCACUUUAAGUUGGGAGGAAGGGCAGUAAGCGAAUACCUUGCUGUUUUGACGUUACCGACAGAAUAAGCACCGGCUAACUCUGUGCCAGCAGCCGCGGUAAUACAGAGGGUGCAAGCGUUAAUCGGAAUUACUGGGCGUAAAGCGCGCGUAGGUGGUUCGUUAAGUUGAAUGUGAAAGCCCCGGGCUCAACCUGGGAACUGCAUCCACAACUGGCGGGCUAGAGUAGGGCAGAGGGUGGUGGAAUUUCCUGUGUAGCGGUGAAAUGCGUAGAUAUAGGAAGGAACACCAGUGGCGAAGGCGACCACCUGGGCUCAUACUGACACUGAGGUGCGAAAGCGUGGGGAGCAAACAGG